AAACUUCUUUAUCACCGAGUGCUUGCACUCACCGAUAAAGAGUUGAGUGGCGAACGGGUGAGUAACACGUGGGCAACCUGCCCAAAAGAGGGGGAUAACACUUGGAAACAGGUGCUAAUACCGCAUAACCAUAGUUACCGCAUGGUAACUAUGUAAAAGGUGGCUAUGCUACCGCUUUUGGAUGGGCCCGCGGCGCAUUAGCUAGUUGGUGGGGUAAAGGCUUACCAAGGCAAUGAUGCGUAGCCGAACUGAGAGGUUGAUCGGCCACAUUGGGACUGAGACACGGCCCAAACUCCUACGGGAGGCAGCAGUAGGGAAUCUUCCACAAUGGGCGAAAGCCUGAUGGAGCAACGCCGCGUGGGUGAAGAAGGUCUUCGGAUCGUAAAACCCUGUUGUUAGAGAAGAAAGUGCGUGAGAGUAACUGUUCACGUUUCGACGGUAUCUAACCAGAAAGCCACGGCUAACUACGUGCCAGCAGCCGCGGUAAUACGUAGGUGGCAAGCGUUAUCCGGAUUUAUUGGGCGUAAAGGGAACGCAGGCGGUCUUUUAAGUCUGAUGUGAAAGCCUUCGGCUUAACCGGAGUAGUGCAUUGGAAACUGGGAGACUUGAGUGCAGAAGAGGAGAGUGGAACUCCAUGUGUAGCGGUGAAAUGCGUAGAUAUAUGGAAGAACACCAGUGGCGAAAGCGGCUCUCUGGUCUGUAACUGACGCUGAGGUUCGAAAGCGUGGGUAGCAAACAGGAUUAGAUACCCUGGU
rnacentral:rRNA from 1 species